rnacentral:tRNA from 1 species
CGGGGUGUGGCGCAGCCUGGUAGCGCGCACCGUUCGGGGCGGUGAGGCCAGCGGUUCAAAUCCGCUCACCCCGACCA